rnacentral:rRNA from 1 species
GAUGAACGCUGGCGGCGUGCCUAAUACAUGCAAGUCGAGCGAACGGACGAGAAGCUUGCUUCUCUGAUGUUAGCGGCGGACGGGUGAGUAACACGUGGAUAACCUACCUAUAAGACUGGGAUAACUUCGGGAAACCGGAGCUAAUACCGGAUAAUAUUUUGAACCGCAUGGUUCAAAAGUGAAAGACGGUCUUGCUGUCACUUAUAGAUGGAUCCGCGCUGCAUUAGUUAGUUGGUAAGGUAACGGCUUACCAAGGCAACGAUGCAUAGCCGACCUGAGAGGGUGAUCGGCCACACUGGAACUGAGACACGGUCCAGACUCCUACGGGAGGCAGCAGUAGGGAAUCUUCCGCAAUGGGCGAAAGCCUGACGGGGCAACGCCGCGUGAGUGAUGAAGGUCUUCGGAUCGUAAAACUCUGUUAUUAGGGAAGAACAUAUGUGUAAGUAACUGUGCACAUCUUGACGGUACCUAAUCAGAAAGCCACGGCUAACUACGUG